AGAACGAACGCUGGCGGCAGGCUUAACACAUGCAAGUCGAGCGCCCCGCAAGAGGAGCGGCAGACGGGUGAGUAACGCGUGGGAACAUACCCUCCGGUUCGGAAUAGCUCAGGGAAACUUGGAUUAAUACCGGAUACGGCCUAGCGGCGAAAGAUUCAUCGCCGGAGGAUUGGCCCGCGUUCGAUUAGCUAGUUGGUGAGGUAACGGCUCACCAAGGCGACGAUCGAUAGCUGGUCUGAGAGGAUGAUCAGCCACAUUGGGACUGAGACACGGCCCAAACUCCUACGGGAGGCAGCAGUGGGGAAUAUUGGACAAUGGGCGCAAGCCUGAUCCAGCCAUGCCGCGUGAGUGAUGACGGCCUUAGGGUUGUAAAGCUCUUUCGCUAGGGACGAUAAUGACGGUACCUAGACAAGAAGCCCCGGCUAACUUCGCGCCAGCAGCCGC
rnacentral:rRNA from 1 species